AAAAAAAUUCGAAAAACAUUAAUUUGCUAUGAAAUUUGAAAAAUAAAUUUUCAAACAAGAGUAAUACUUCAAUACACCGCGUAAAUCUUGACCGUUUAUUUUUGUAAAUAGAUAGUUGAGAUGUAAUAUGAUUCUAGAAGCGACCUACUAUUCAGGCAUAGGUACCAUUCAGCAGGUAACUAUUUAAAGGGUAUUUUGGUCUUAAAAAAAUAUUUUGUUCUACAAAAUCGAUUUUAUCCAAUUAAGAAUACUAUAACCUUCUCAAAUACCUACAACAAUAGUUAAAAUUCAAAUUACAACUAAACUGUAAAUUUAAAUGCAAAGCAACAUAAAAAACUUAAUUAUAAAUCAAAUUCAACUUUUAAAUAUAAAACACAAAUUUCAAAAAAAACUUUCAGUUCAAAUUCAAAAUUUUAAUUUAAAUCAAAAAUUAAAAUUUGGCUUUUAGAUUAAAAAUACAAUACAGAUUCAAAAUUUAAAAGUUUAAUAUAAAUUAUGAAAUUAAAAUUUUACAUUACAAUACCAACUUCAAAACUUAAAUUUAAAUUCAAUAUUUUUUUUGAGUUUGAUACUUAACAAAUUGGGUAUUAUCUAAUUUGAUAAGUAACAAAACUAAAUAAGGUACUUAAUAUUAUAGGAUGCUAACAAAUUUAGUAUAUAACCGACCGUCCCUAGAGCAAGUGGCAAAGGGCAAGGUGGUUGGUACUCGAGACUCAAGUUCGAAUCCUAGUUGAUUUACAUUUCCAGCUAAGUUUAUUUCUAAAUGAAAUAAACGAAGCGGGUAGCGUGCUACCUAUCUCUCUCAA
rnacentral:lncRNA from 1 species